GUCAGGAUGGCCGAGUGGUCUAAGGCGCCAGACUCAAGUUCUGGUCUCCGAAUGGAGGCGUGGGUUCGAAUCCCACUUCUGACACCA
rnacentral:tRNA from 1 species